AUUGAACGCUGGCGGCAUGCCUUACACAUGCAAGUCGAACGGUAACGCGGGGCAACCUGGCGACGAGUGGCGAACGGGUGAGUAAAGCAUCGGAACGUGCCCAGUAGUGGGGGAUAGCCCGGCGAAAGCCGGAUUAAUACCGCAUACGACCUACGGGUGAAAGGGGGGGAUCGCAAGACCUCCCGCUAUUGGAGCGGCCGAUGUCAGAUUAGCUAGUUGGUGGGGUAAGGGCCUACCAAGGCGACGAUCUGUAGCUGGUCUGAGAGGACGACCAGCCACACUGGGACUGAGACACGGCCCAGACUCCUACGGGAGGCAGCAGUGGGGAAUUUUGGACAAUGGACGCAAGUCUGAUCCAGCCAUGCCGCGUGCGGGAAGAAGGCCUUCGGGUUGUAAACCGCUUUUGUCAGGGAAGAAAUCUUCUGGGUUAAUACCUCGGGAGGAUGACGGUACCUGAAGAAUAAGCACCGGCUAACUACGUGCCAGCCGCCGCAGUAAUAC
rnacentral:rRNA from 1 species